UUUCCGUAGGUGAACCUGCGGAAGGAUCAUUAUUGGAUUUUGAAACUUCAGGCUGCUGCUGGUUCUCCUCGGAGGGCAUGUGCACGCUUGUUGUCCAUUAUUUCUCCCACUGUGCACAAAUUGUAGACCUUUCAGUAGGCCUAUGUUGUUUUUCACAAUCUCUGAAUGUAAUAGAAUGGUUUUGAAUCUUGGGAAAUACAAUACAACUUUCAGCAACGGAUCUCUUGGCUCUC
rnacentral:misc_RNA from 1 species